rnacentral:rRNA from 1 species
GACGAACGCUGGCGGCGCGCCUAAUACAUGCAAGUAGAACGCUGAAGGAGGAGCUUGCUUCUCUGGAUGAGUUGCGAACGGGUGAGUAACGCGUAGGUAACCUGCCUGGUAGCGGGGGAUAACUAUUGGAAACGAUAGCUAAUACCGCAUAAGAGUAGAUGUUGCAUGACAUUUGCUUAAAAGGUGCAAUUGCAUCACUACCAGAUGGACCUGCGUUGUAUUAGCUAGUUGGUGGGGUAACGGCUCACCAAGGCGACGAUACAUAGCCGACCUGAGAGGGUGAUCGGCCACACUGGGACUGAGACACGGCCCAGACUCCUACGGGAGGCAGCAGUAGGGAAUCUUCGGCAAUGGACGGAAGUCUGACCGAGCAACGCCGCGUGAGUGAAGAAGGUUUUCGGAUCGUAAAGCUCUGUUGUAAGAGAAGAACGAGUGUGAGAGUGGAAAGUUCACACUGUGACGGUAUCUUACCAGAAAGGGACGGCUAACUACGUGCCAGCAGCCGCGGUAAUACGUAGGUCCCGAGCGUUGUCCGGAUUUAUUGGGCGUAAAGCGAGCGCAGGCGGUUAGAUAAGUCUGAAGUUAAAGGCUGUGGCUUAACCAUAGUACGCUUUGGAAACUGUUUAACUUGAGUGCAAGAGGGGAGAGUGGAAUUCCAUGUGUAGCGGUGAAAUGCGUAGAUAUAUGGAGGAACACCGGUGGCGAAAGCGGCUCUCUGGCUUGUAACUGACGCUGAGGCUCGAAAGCGUGGGGAGCAAACAGG